AUUGAACGCUGGCGGCAUGCUUUACACAUGCAAGUCGAACGGCAGCGCGGGCUUCGGCCUGGCGGCGAGUGGCGAACGGGUGAGUAAUACAUCGGAACGUGCCCAGUAGUGGGGGAUAGCUCGGCGAAAGCCGGAUUAAUACCGCAUACGACCUGAGGGUGAAAGCGGGGGAUCUUCGGACCUCGCGCUAUUGGAGCGGCCGAUGGCAGAUUAGCUAGUUGGUGGGGUAAAGGCCUACCAAGGCGACGAUCUGUAGCUGGUCUGAGAGGACGACCAGCCACCUGGGGACUGGGCACCGGCCCGGACUCUUCGGGGGGGAAGAGUUGGGAAUUUUGGGAAAAGGGGCGAAACCUUGUCCAAGAAAGGCGGGGUGUGUGAUGAGGGCUUCCGGGUGGUAAGCACUUUUGGCGGGAACGAAAAGGACUGUGCCAAUACCACGGUUCGAUGACGGUACCCGCAGAAUAAGCACCGGCUAACUACGUG
rnacentral:rRNA from 1 species